rnacentral:rRNA from 1 species
GAUGAUUGGGGUGAAGUCGUAACAAGGUAGCCGUAGAUGAACCUGCAGAAGGAUCA